rnacentral:rRNA from 1 species
GGGCAGCAGUGGGGAAUAUUGGACAAUGGGCGAAAGCCUGAUCCAGCCAUGCCGCGUGUGUGAUGAAGGCCUUCGGGUCGUAAAGCACUGUGGGGAAGGAAGAAGAUCUGACGGUACUUCCUUAGCAAGCACCGGCUAACUCCGUGCCAGCAGCCGCGGUAAUACGGAGGGUGCAAACGUUGCUCGGAAUCAUUGGGCGUAAAGCGCACGUAGGCGGCCCAGUAUGUCGGAUGUGAAAGCCCUCGGCUUAACCGAGGAAGUGCACCCGAAACUGCUGGGCUUGAGUAUGGGAGAGGGUAGCGGAAUUCCCGGUGUAGAGGUGAAAUUCGUAGAUAUCGGGAGGAACACCAGUGGCGAAGGCGGCUACCUGGACCAAUACUGACGCUGAGGUGCGAAAGCGUGGGGAGCAAACAGGAUUAGAUACCCCAGUAGUC